UGCCAGCCGCCGCGGUAAUACGAAGGGGGCGAGCGUUAUUCGGAAUCACUGGGCUUAAAGGGUGCGUAGGCGGUUUUCCAAGUCAGAUGUGAAAUCUCCCGGCUCAACCGGGAAACUGCAUUCGAUACUGGCAGACUAGAGUGCGAGAGAGGGAGGUAGAAUUCCAUGUGUAGCGGUGAAAUGCGUAGAUAUGUGGAGGAAUACCAGUGGCGAAGGCGGCCUCCUGGCUCGACACUGACACUGAGGUGCGAAAGCGUGGGGAGCAAACAGGAUUAGAUA
rnacentral:rRNA from 1 species